CUACGAAGGGGGCUAGCGUUGUUCGGAAUCACUGGGCGUAAAGCGCGCGUAGGUGGAUCAAUUAGUUGAGGGUGAAAUCCCGGGGCUCAACCUCGGAACUGCCUUCAAUACUGUUGAUCUUGAGACCGAGAGAGGUGAGUGGAAUUCCUAGUGUAGAGGUGAAAUUCGUAGAUAUUAGGAAGAACACCAGUGGCGAAGGCGGCUCACUGGCUCGGUACUGACGCUGAGGUGCGAAAGCGUGGGGAGCAAACAGGAUUAGAAACCCUAGUAGUCC
rnacentral:rRNA from 1 species